GCGGGGGUGCCCGAGCCAGGUCAAAGGGGACGGGUUCAGGUCCCGUUGGCGAAGGCUGCGUGGGUUCGAAUCCCACCCCCCCGCA
rnacentral:tRNA from 1 species